rnacentral:pre_miRNA from 1 species
CCGGAAAUACUUGUCAUCAAAAUGGAUAAAAGGAAAUGUAUCUAGACGUAUUUUAGUUUUAGAUACAUCUAUUUUUAUCCAUUUUGAUGACAAGUAUUUUCGG